AACGAACGCUGGCGGCAUGCCUAACACAUGCAAGUCGAACGAGACCUUCGGGUCUAGUGGCGCACGGGUGCGUAACGCGUGGGAACCUGCCCUUAGGUUCGGAAUAACUCCCCGAAAGGGGUGCUAAUACCGGAUAAUGUCUUCGGACCAAAGAUUUAUCGCCUUUGGAUGGGCCCGCGUUGGAUUAGCUAGUUGGUAGGGUAAAAGCCUACCAAGGCGACGAUCCAUAGCUGGUCUGAGAGGAUGAUCAGCCACACUGGGACUGAGACACGGCCCAGACUCCUCCGGGAGGCAGCAGUGGGGAAUCUUGGACAAUGGGCGAAAGCCUGAUCCAGCAAUGCCGCGUGAGUGAUGAAGGCCUUAGGGUUGUAAAGCUCUUUUACCCGGGAUGAUAAUGGCAGUACCGGGAGAAUAAGCUCCGGCUAACUCCGUG
rnacentral:rRNA from 1 species